rnacentral:rRNA from 1 species
CCUUACCUGGCCUUGACAUACUAAGAACUUUCCAGAGAUGGAUUGGUGCCUUCGGGAACUUUAGAUACAGGUGCUGCAUGGCUGUCGUCAGCUCGUGUCGUGAGAUGUUGGGUUAAGUCCCGCAACGAGCGCAACCCUUUUUCCUUAUUUGCCAGCGGGUUAAGCCGGGAACUUUUAAGGAUACUGCCAGUGACAAACUGGAGGAAGGCGGGGACGACGUCAAGUCAUCAUGGCCCUUACGGCCAGGGCUACACACGUGCUACAAUGGUCGGUACAAAGGGUUGCUACCUCGCGAGAGGAUGCUAAUCUCAAAAAGCCGAUCGUAGUCCGGAUCGCAGUCUGCAACUCGACUGCGUGAAGUCGGAAUCGCUAGUAAUCGCGGAUCAGAAUGCCGCGGUGAAUACGUUCCCGGGCCUUGUACACACCGCCCGUCACACCAUGGGAGUUUGUUGCACCAGAAGUAGGUAGUCUAACCGCAAGGAGGACGCUUACCACGGUGUGGCCGAUGACUGGGGUGAAGUCGUAACAAGGUAGGCGUAGAUGA